ACCGUGCGAAGGUAGCGUAAUCACUUGUUCUUUAAAUGGGGACUAGUAUGAACGGCACCACGAGGGUUAUACUGUCUCCUCUUUCCAAUCAGUGAAACUAAUCUCCCCGUGAAGAAGCGGGGAUGAGAUUAUAAGACGAGAAGACCCUAUGGAGCUUUAAACUUCUCUUCAGACGCUAGAAUACUCUUACAAGUCACCGACCCCUUCAUACUCACCCUCGGCGCCAUGAAGACGACUUUUAGGUUGGGGUGACCGUGGAGUAUAAAAAAUCCUCCACGCUGAACUAGGUCUCCAAACCUUGAGCGUAGGGCUACAACCCAAAGCACUAAAAAACUAACACCCAUUGACCCAAUAUUAUUUGAUCAACGAACCAAGUUACCCUAGGGAUAACAGCGCAAUCCACUUCAAGAGUCCCUAUCGACAAGUGGGUUUACGACCUC
rnacentral:rRNA from 1 species